AUUGAACUCUGGCGGCAUGCUUUCCACAUGCAAGUCGAACGGUAACAGGGUGCUUGCACCGCUGACGAGUGGCGAACGGGUGAGUAAUGCGCCGGAACGUGCCGAGUAGUGGGGGAUAACGCAGCGAAAGUCGUGCUAAUACCGCAUACGUACUGAGGUAGAAAGGGGGGGAGCUUCGGGCCUCACGCUAUUCGAGCGGCCGACGUCUGAUUAGCUAGUAGGUGAGGUAAAGGCUCACCUAGGCGACGAUCAGGAGCGGGUCUGAGAGGAUGAUCCGCCACACUGGGACUGAGACACGGCCCAGACUCCUACGGGAGGCAGCAGUGGGGAAUUUUGGACAAUGGGCGAAAGCCUGAUCCAGCCAUGCCGCGUGUCUGAAGAAGGCCUUCGGGUUGUAAAGGACUUUUGUCAGGGAGGAAAUCCCUAGUGCUAAUAACACUGGGGGAUGACAGUACCUGAAGAAUAAGCACCGGCUAACUACGUGCCAGCCGCCGCCGUAA
rnacentral:rRNA from 1 species